GAUGAACGCUAGCGGCAGGCCUAACACAUGCAAGUCGAGGGAGAAGCCCUUUCGGGGGCAGACACCGGCGCACGGGUGCGUAACGCGUAUGCAACCUACCUUUCACAGGGGGAUAGCCCGAAGAAAUUUGGAUUAAUACCCCAUAAUAUUAUUGGAUGGCAUCAUUUGAUAAUUAAAACUGCGGUGGUGAAAGAUGGGCAUGCGUCCUAUUAGCUAGUUGGAGUGGUAACGGCACCCCAAGGCUACGAUAGGUAGGGGUCCUGAGAGGGAGAUCCCCCACACUGGUACUGAGACAGGGACCAGACUCCUACGGGAGGCAGCAGUGAGGAAUAUUGGUCAAUGGUCGGAAGACUGAACCAGCCAUGCCGCGUGCAGGAAGAAUGCCUUAUGGGUGGUAAACUGCUUUUAUAUGGGAAGAAUAAGGCGUACGUGUACGUUGAUGACGGUACCAUAUGAAUAAGCAUCGGCUAACUCCGUG
rnacentral:rRNA from 1 species